rnacentral:rRNA from 2 species
ACUAAGCGUACACGGUGGAUGCCCUGGCAGUCAGAGGCGAUGAAGGACGUGCUAAUCUGCGAUAAGCGUCGGUAAGGUGAUAUGAACCGUUAUAACCGGCGAUUUCCGAAUGGGGAAACCCAGUGUGAUUCGUCACACUAUCAUUAACUGAAUCCAUAGGUUAAUGAGGCGAACCGGGGGAACUGAAACAUCUAAGUACCCCGAGGAAAAGAAAUCAACCGAGAUUCCCCCAGUAGCGGCGAGCGAACGGGGAGCAGCCCAGAGCCUGAAUCAGUGUGUGUGUUAGUGGAAGCGUCUGGAAAGGCGCGCGAUACAGGGUGACAGCCCCGUACACAAAAAUGCACAUGCUGUGAGCUCGAUGAGUAGGGCGGGACACGUGGUAUCCUGUCUGAAUAUGGGGGGACCAUCCUCCAAGGCUAAAUACUCCUGACUGACCGAUAGUGAACCAGUACCGUGAGGGAAAGGCGAAAAGAACCCCGGCGAGGGGAGUGAAAAAGAACCUGAAACCGUGUACGUACAAGCAGUGGGAGCACGCUUAGGCGUGUGACUGCGUACCUUUUGUAUAAUGGGUCAGCGACUUAUAUUCUGUAGCAAGGUUAACCGAAUAGGGGAGCCGAAGGGAAACCGAGUCUUAACUGGGCGUUAAGUUGCAGGGUAUAGACCCGAAACCCGGUGAUCUAGCCAUGGGCAGGUUGAAGGUUGGGUAACACUAACUGGAGGACCGAACCGACUAAUGUUGAAAAAUUAGCGGAUGACUUGUGGCUGGGGGUGAAAGGCCAAUCAAACCGGGAGAUAGCUGGUUCUCCCCGAAAGCUAUUUAGGUAGCGCCUCGUGAAUUCAUCUCCGGGGGUAGAGCACUGUUUCGGCAAGGGGGUCAUCCCGACUUACCAACCCGAUGCAAACUGCGAAUACCGGAGAAUGUUAUCACGGGAGACACACGGCGGGUGCUAACGUCCGUCGUGAAGAGGGAAACAACCCAGACCGCCAGCUAAGGUCCCAAAGUCAUGGUUAAGUGGGAAACGAUGUGGGAAGGCCCAGACAGCCAGGAUGUUGGCUUAGAAGCAGCCAUCAUUUAAAGAAAGCGUAAUAGCUCACUGGUCGAGUCGGCCUGCGCGGAAGAUGUAACGGGGCUAAACCAUGCACCGAAGCUGCGGCAGCGACGCUGAUGCGUUGUUGGGUAGGGGAGCGUUCUGUAAGCCUGCGAAGGUGUGCUGUGAGGCAUGCUGGAGGUAUCAGAAGUGCGAAUGCUGACAUAAGUAACGAUAAAGCGGGUGAAAAGCCCGCUCGCCGGAAGACCAAGGGUUCCUGUCCAACGUUAAUCGGGGCAGGGUGAGUCGACCCCUAAGGCGAGGCCGAAAGGCGUAGUCGAUGGGAAACAGGUUAAUAUUCCUGUACUUGGUGUUACUGCGAAGGGGGGACGGAGAAGGCUAUGUUGGCCGGGCGACGGUUGUCCCGGUUUAAGCGUGUAGGCUGGUUUUCCAGGCAAAUCCGGAAAAUCAAGGCUGAGGCGUGAUGACGAGGCACUACGGUGCUGAAGCAACAAAUGCCCUGCUUCCAGGAAAAGCCUCUAAGCAUCAGGUAACAUCAAAUCGUACCCCAAACCGACACAGGUGGUCAGGUAGAGAAUACCAAGGCGCUUGAGAGAACUCGGGUGAAGGAACUAGGCAAAAUGGUGCCGUAACUUCGGGAGAAGGCACGCUGAUAUGUAGGUGAAGUCCCUCGCGGAUGGAGCUGAAAUCAGUCGAAGAUACCAGCUGGCUGCAACUGUUUAUUAAAAACACAGCACUGUGCAAACACGAAAGUGGACGUAUACGGUGUGACGCCUGCCCGGUGCCGGAAGGUUAAUUGAUGGGGUUAGCGCAAGCGAAGCUCUUGAUCGAAGCCCCGGUAAACGGCGGCCGUAACUAUAACGGUCCUAAGGUAGCGAAAUUCCUUGUCGGGUAAGUUCCGACCUGCACGAAUGGCGUAAUGAUGGCCAGGCUGUCUCCACCCGAGACUCAGUGAAAUUGAACUCGCUGUGAAGAUGCAGUGUACCCGCGGCAAGACGGAAAGACCCCGUGAACCUUUACUAUAGCUUGACACUGAACAUUGAGCCUUGAUGUGUAGGAUAGGUGGGAGGCUUUGAAGUGUGGACGCCAGUCUGCAUGGAGCCGACCUUGAAAUACCACCCUUUAAUGUUUGAUGUUCUAACGUGGACCCGUAAUCCGGGUUGCGGACAGUGUCUGGUGGGUAGUUUGACUGGGGCGGUCUCCUCCUAAAGAGUAACGGAGGAGCACGAAGGUUGGCUAAUCCUGGUCGGACAUCAGGAGGUUAGUGCAAUGGCAUAAGCCAGCUUGACUGCGAGCGUGACGGCGCGAGCAGGUGCGAAAGCAGGUCAUAGUGAUCCGGUGGUUCUGAAUGGAAGGGCCAUCGCUCAACGGAUAAAAGGUACUCCGGGGAUAACAGGCUGAUACCGCCCAAGAGUUCAUAUCGACGGCGGUGUUUGGCACCUCGAUGUCGGCUCAUCACAUCCUGGGGCUGAAGUAGGUCCCAAGGGUAUGGCUGUUCGCCAUUUAAAGUGGUACGCGAGCUGGGUUUAGAACGUCGUGAGACAGUUCGGUCCCUAUCUGCCGUGGGCGCUGGAGAAUUGAGGGGGGCUGCUCCUAGUACGAGAGGACCGGAGUGGACGCAUCACUGGUGUUCGGGUUGUCAUGCCAAUGGCACUGCCCGGUAGCUAAAUGCGGAAGAGAUAAGUGCUGAAAGCAUCUAAGCACGAAACUUGCCCCGAGAUGAGUUCUCCCUGACUCCUUGAGAGUCCUGAAGGAACGUUGAAGACGACGACGUUGAUAGGCCGGGUGUGUAAGCGCAGCGAUGCGUUGAGCUAACCGGUACUAAUGAACCGUGAGGCUUAACC